rnacentral:rRNA from 1 species
UACGUAGGUGGCAAGCGUUGUCCGGAUUUAUUGGGUUUAAAGGGUGCGUAGGCGGUCUUAUAAGUCAGUGGUGAAAUACGGCAGCUCAACUGUCGAGGUGCCAUUGAUACUGUAGGACUUGAGUACAGACGAGGUAGGCGGAAUUGACAGUGUAGCGGUGAAAUGCUUAGAUAUCGUCAAGAACACCGAUAGCGAAGGCAGCUUACUAGGCUGUAACUGACGCUGAGGCACGAAAGUGUGGGGAUCAAACAGG